UCCCAGUACCCAGUCCCGCUACCCACUUACGUCAUUACGUUUACGUAGAGGUGAUACUACUACGACCGCUACGACGAAAGGGUGAGAGAAAUACGCGGAAUGAUUUUACAUCGUGAAAACGAGGCGUCACUGGUGACGAGUAAAGAGAAUUGUAAUGUAGCUAAAACAAGAAAGGCUUUUGUUCUUAAA